GAUGAACGCUGGCGGCGUGCCUAAUACAUGCAAGUCGAGCGAACGGACGAGAAGCUUGCUUUUCUGAUGUUAGCGGCGGACGGGUGAGUAGCACGUGGAUAACCUACCUAUAAGACUGGGAUAACUUCGGGAAACCGGAGCUAAUACCGGAUAAUAUUUUGAACCGCAUGGUUCAAAAGUGAAAGACGGUCUUGCUGUCACUUAUAGAUGGAUCCGCGCUGCAUUAGCUAGUUGGUAAGGUAACGGCUUACCAAGGCAACGAUGCAUAGCCGACCUGAGAGGGUGAUCGGCCACACUGGAACUGAGACACGGUCCAGACUCCUACGGGAGGCAGCAGUAGGGAAUCUUCCGCAAUGGGCGAAAGCCUGACGGAGCAACGCCGCGUGAGUGAUGAAGGUCUUCGGAUCGUAAAACUCUGUUAUUAGGGAAGAACACAUGUGUAAGUAACUGUGCACAUCUUGACGGUACCUAAUCAGAAAGCCACGGCUAACUACGUG
rnacentral:rRNA from 1 species